UACGUAGGGAGCGAGCGUUAUCCGGAUUUAUUGGGUGUAAAGGGUGCGUAGGCGGUUUAUUAGGUCUGUGGUUUAAUCCCGAAGCUUAACUUCGGUUCGCCAUAGAAACCGAUUCACUCGAGUAUGGUAGAGGCAAGUGGAAUUUCUAGUGUAGCGGUAAAAUGCGUAGAUAUUAGAAGGAACACCAGUGGCGAAGGCGACUUGCUGGGCCAUUACUGACGCUGAGGCACGAAAGCGUGGGGAGC
rnacentral:rRNA from 1 species